CUUUAUGGGUGAAGGCCAGAUUCCCUGGCAGGUGUGAAUUGGCAUAUCUCUGCUGAAAUCACAGAACUGCUGUGUUACAUCAGUUUGAGAGUCUGGACCUAUUUCCUGAGCUAUUUUUGUCUUGCCCCUAAAAUCAAUUCCUUGAAGGCUAAGACAACUGAAGAAAGGAAAUGACUCCCUACUACUGGGAUAUCAGCUAUCACAUAGGAUCUUGUCCAGUCUAAGACAUUUAGGUUCUACUCUAUUGUAAAUUAUAAAACAUAAGUAUAUAAUGUGAAAAAUGUAGGAAAUGAAACAAAUAAAAAAAAUAUUACAUGACUUCAAAACUACAGUUCAGUGACUUUUCUUCAGUUUGGACUAUUUCAAAUAAUCUGGAGGUUCAGCAAUCAAUGCUGCUUUUGAGGUUCUUAUCAGCUGAAUGAAUUUAGUAAAGUACAAGACAAAAUUAUUGAUUGCGUUGCUUCAGAAGCUACUGGAAACCUGGUCAGAGGCUUGAAUGUCACCUGAAAAUGAAACUUGGCUUUUAUAAUCUGAUUUAGGGCUUGAAAUAUUUUAGUUUGUGUGUCUUGCAUUUAAUCCACCUUAUUGAUUUAAUAAUACCUUAAAACGUUUACUCAUUUCCUUUAGUCUCUGUAGUUUUAGACAAAAACUGGAAGAAAACCUGUCUGUGGUUGAAACUAUAAAGCACACUGGUUCAAAGCGAAACUGUAGUUCAUACAUCAACAUGGAAUUGGAAUGUGCUUGUUAAGACUCUCACAAUAGCUGACAUUGGCCUUUAUUAUUAAUUAUUAUUGUUGUUGUUGUUGCUGUUUUUAUUAUUAUUUUCCU
rnacentral:lncRNA from 1 species